ACGGUUCCGCUCAUGCUGUGUUCCAGACAGACGUGCGUUAAGGUCCCCGGCUAUCAUUACGUCCUCAUCGCCAACCCUGAGUUCCGUCAGUGCCUGUUGGAUCCUGGUAAAAACUGUUUCCGCUGCUGCAGACCCUGGACGUCUCUGGUGCGAGGUAGCAGGCUCCCAUCAGGAGACUACCACCCGCAGAAAGGCUAAUGCGCGUCCAUAUGACCUCGCACC
rnacentral:lncRNA from 1 species